GACGAACGCUGGCGGCGUGCUUAACACAUGCAAGUCGAACGGAAAGGCCCUGCUUUUGUGGGGUGCUCGAGUGGCGAACGGGUGAGUAACACGUGAGUAACCUGCCCUUGACUUUGGGAUAACUUCAGGAAACUGGGGCUAAUACCGGAUAGGAGCUCUGGCGGCAUGGUGGGGGUUGGAAGGUUUCGGCGGUUGGGGAUGGACUCGCGGCUUAUCAGCUUGUUGGUGGGGUAGUGGCUUACCAAGGCUUUGACGGGUAGCCGGCCUGAGAGGGUGACCGGCCACAUUGGGACUGAGAUACGGCCCAGACUCCUACGGGAGGCAGCAGUGGGGAAUAUUGCACAAUGGGCGGAAGCCUGAUGCAGCAACGCCGCGUGCGGGAUGACGGCCUUCGGGUUGUAAACCGCUUUCGCCUGUGACGAAGCGUGAGUGACGGUAAUGGGUAAAGAAGCACCGGCUAACUACGUG
rnacentral:rRNA from 1 species